GGGUGCUCGGAUCUUUUUAUUCCGAGUUAUCUUUUUCGAUUAGGAUUUUUUAUUUGAAGGAGAGUAUACAAGGGAUAAAAAGAGAAAAGCCCCUGAUUAGAUAAUCUUAACCAGGAGCCGCUCUUUAUGCCCAGAAACAUAAAGGUAGCGCCUCAUUUGCUUAAACGCAAGGGAAAACACGCUAUG
rfam:Dendroctonus ponderosae Seq01005961, whole genome shotgun sequence.